rnacentral:rRNA from 1 species
AUUGAACGCUGGCGGCAGGCCUAACACAUGCAAGUCGAGCGGAGCGGCGGACGGGUGAGUAAUGACUAGGAAUCUGCCUGGUAGUGGGGGAUAACGUCAGGAAACGGGCGCUAAUACCGCAUACUAUCAGAUGAGCCUAGGUCGGAUUAGCUAGUGUGGGGGGUAAAGGCCUACCAAGGCGACGAUCCGUAACUGGUCGGAGAGGCUGCUCAGUAAAACUGGACUGGAAACACGGCCCGAACUCCUACGGGGGGCAGAAGAGGGAAAUAUUGGACAAGGGGCGAAAGCCUGAUCCAGCCAUGCCGCGGGUGUGAAGAAGGUCUUCGGAUUGUAAAGCACGUUAAGUUGGGAGACGUUACCAACAGAAUAAGCACCGGCUAACUUCGUGCCAGCCGCCGCGGUAAUAC